ensembl:lincRNA
AAUGUCACUAUAUUUCUGAAGAUUCCUUCAACUGCUCCAGCCAAAUGUAAUUUCACCUUCCUGCAAGUUCUCACAGAUCUUUACUUCUCAUUUUCAUCUCUAUAUCAGCUUCUCUUAGUACUCGUACUGUUUGUAAGCUUGAUUUUGUUUUGGUUUUGUAUUAGGCAACAUCAUUGCAACAAGUCACACUUUGAGAACUCAAGAGAAUAUGUUUGUUCUGAAAAUCCGGGAAUUAUUGCCAACCCAUGGUUGUCUCCAUAUGUCUUGGGAAAAAUAGGAAAAAGAUUUUUUGAGUUGGUGCUGUCUCAGUGGAAUAGUCAACCAAUGUAUCCUACAUUUUGGACCAGCAGAAGGAAGUAAUGAGAACGGAAAACAAAUAAGAAGUGAGUUGGAGGGAGAAGGAGACUUUAGCAUCUUCCUGAAAUCAGGAAGAAAGUUUCAAGAAUAAAGUAAUCCAUAGGGUCAAAUACUGCAGUAAGUUUAAGUAGGAUGAAGACUGCAAAGAUGGUAUUAGUUUGGUACUUAGGACAUUGGUGACCUCCACAGGUGACCUUCAGGAGAAUUAUCUGGGGAACUUGUUGAUAGAAUUUGUGAAUCUCCACCUUUAGGGAUUCUGAUUUAGAAGGAGUAGGAAGAAGGCCUUAGGAUCUCCAUUUAUAACAACCACUACUGAUUAUUUUGAGGCAGGUAGCAUACAGACCACAUUUUAAAGAAACACUAGGUAAGUGUGAUUUUCAUUCAAAGGACAAAAAACAUAAAGUUACCUAAUUCAGGGACCAUUUCAAAGACCAAAUCAAAUCAGUAGCCUGGCUGAUCUGAUCGACUGUGCAGAAACUAGCCAUUACCAUGGCAAAGUGGGGAGGAACAGUCAAUAAAAAGCAAUUGAUUUAUUGUUCAUAUGUAAGAUGAAUGUAGACAUGGAUUUUGUUUCAAG